ensembl:lncRNA
CUGGCAUUCAGGGCUGGACCUUUGAUGCUGUACUGCGCGGGCAUAGUGAGGAAAUGCGGAGGUUGUCGUCGCAGAUUAUCAACAGCACCCCUUCCCAAAAGAACAUGAGGUUUCUCUCAGUGACGAGCAAAAGCAAAACAGCCUGCACCCACCCUUUUCCACAGACAGACUUGAGACUCAGCACCCUAAGAAACACACCCCAAAGACACCAACACAGCAAGAGGAGUGACUGUAACCUCAAUAGCAUGCUGUGUUGGAGUGGAAAAAAGGGCGAGACUGUACGAGCGAAGUUCUGCACUGUAUCAAAAGCACCAACUGAAACAGAAAGCAGCAUAGUGAAAGACAUACAAGAUGAGCUGCACAGACACAGGUUUACUCAAGAGCCGCCACAAGGUUAAUCCCCAAGCGCACAGCAGCCCAAAUCCUACCACAUGCACUUCCAGAAGGAAGAAUCAGUGACAUUCCCAAUAAGGCCACUCUGCAAGGACCCCAACAGGAAAAAGUGCCAAUUAACACCAAGUGUAAUAAGGGCAGUAGGCUACGUGGAUAGAUACCUGCCUGCAGGCAAUCAGACAGGAGAAAUUCACCUCUCAUUGGGUGGAUUCUGGGUGACCUACAUUACCUCACAAGGAGCAGG